CGUGCACUGGUGGGGUCCCUCGGCCUGGCCUGUGGGGAUUGGGCCGAAACUGGCUCUCUGACAUCCCCCAGAUUGUGAGAUGACACAGGCCAGGCUGAGGGACCCCACUGGUGCACA
rnacentral:pre_miRNA from 1 species